rnacentral:rRNA from 1 species
UACGUAGGGGGCAAGCGUUAUCCGGAUUUACUGGGUGUAAAGGGAGCGUAGACGGCACAGCAAGUCUGAUGUGAAAACCCGCGGCUCAACUGCGGGAUUGCAUUGGAAACUGUUGAGCUUGAGUACUGGAGGGGCAGGCGGAAUUCCUGGUGUAGCGGUGGAAUGCGUAGAUAUCAGGAGGAACACCGGUGGCGAAGGCGGCCUGCUGGACAGAAACUGACGUUGAGGCUCGAAAGCGUGGGGAGCAAAC